GUUCUCAUCGAUCAUUUAAUAGAACCGUUCAAAAUACUUGAUUCGUUCGCGAAAGUCCCAUCUCCAUUGAGGCGUUAUGGUUGACUUUCUUCCUCCAUCGACGACCGUCUGUGUUUGUGACAAAGGUGUGGCACUGGCCCUUCUCCAUGGCUGUCCUCCGAUAUACAGCGAAUUGUGUGGUUAGCUUAAGGCUCGAUUGUGUGUCCAAGGAAGCCGUUUUACUGCCGCGUUAAAGACACCGCAUGGAAACAAUUAAGAAUUGGAAAUAAAAUGAACGGAAGGUACACGGACCUGAAUCGAGCAUCAAUUCUGAAUGGAUUGCCCUCAGGCGCCAACAACAUCCCCGACACGGCGCUGCAAAAGGAGACUAAAAGGCCCUGCAGGCUCCAAUUAGUAAAAUAGACGAGAACUUUCAUUCAGCUGCUUGGCAUCGAGCAUGAAAGUGGGAUUCAAGCUCUGAUUUCAAAGAAGGCUGCUGGAAAAUACAAAAAUGCUUACUGCCGCUUUUCUUUGAAAAAAAUGAACGCAAUCGGCUCCAUUAACAAAUGAGAAAUAUUAAAAACAUAGGAGGAGAUUGAUUUAACAGGAGAAAAAUGGCAGCACAUUUGCAGAAAAAAAAAGUUGAAGUAGGCAAGCAAAUAGUGCAUAGCUAAGGCAACAUAAAUAUGGUCCAUAAAUCAUCCCUGUGUUUGGAUUGUGGACCUUUUAUUGAUGGGCUGCUAAAGGGCUGAAUGAUGUGUAAAUCAUCUGCAGGUCCAUGGAGAAGGCUGAGCGGAUGCAGGCUAACAUGGCAGAAAGUCUAAAAUGCAUUUUUAUGACAAACCAUAAAAUGUGGCAAACUAAGAUUUCAUUCCUACAUUUAAUACAGAGGUGUGGCCUCAGUCAUAAAAAUGGUAAAAAAAAAUAGCCAAAUAUUUGUCUUUAUGACUGAAUGCUUAAUUAAAUGUUUGUUUUAUGCCCUUUUUAUUGAAGAAAACCCAUUUUUAAAUGCAAAAUACAUUAAAUAUGCAAUAUUUUUCCCCCCAAAAAAUAUUUCAAAGUGGAAUAUUUGAUGUGAAGUCAUUAGAGCCUUAACCAGGUCAAUCAUUCAUUUAAUUGAUUGAUUCAUGACAGUGGUCAGGUGAGCCUCCUGAAGAAGACUGCAGAUGACAGUCGAAACAUGUCAGGUGAAAAAUUGCAUCUAAAAGAACAAGUGAUUUGAUUCAUUAUUAUUUUUUGAGAAAUGACCGCACAUUUAAAAAGAAAACAAAAAACUUUCAACACUUCAAUCAAUCAAUUCAAAUUUUAAUUGCCUUUUUUAAAAUGGUUUGUUUUAUGCACUUUUUGUAAAAAAAUACACACUUGAGUUUUUAUAAAUGGAAAACAGAAUAAAUAUGCCAUAUUAUCCCCCAAAAAUGCAUUAUUUUUGAGUAAUGACAAUAAAAAAAUACUUUCCAAUUCUUUGAGCAAAAAGGGUUAUAAAUAAGACUUGUAAGUGUCUAGAUCAAUUUCAGAUCCAUCCAUCAGUUAUAAGUUGUUAUUACUUCCUUUUAAAUGUGUUUGUUUUAUAUGGAAAACACAAAAUAUGCAAUUUUUC